ACGGAGGGUGCAAGCGUUGUUCGGAUUUACUGGGCGUAAAGGGCGCGUAGGCGGUCUUAUAAGCCAGAUGUGAAAGCCCACGGCUCAACCGUGGAAGUGCAUCUGGAACUGUGAGACUUGAGUAUGGGAGAGGAAAGUGGAAUUCCCGGUGUAGAGGUGAAAUUCGUAGAUAUCGGGAGGAAUACCGGUGGCGAAGGCGACUUUCUGGACCAAUACUGACGCUGAGGCGCGAAAGCGUGGGUAGCAAACAGGAUUAGAUACCCUGGUAGUCCACAGCUGUAAACGAUGAUAACUAGGUAUAGGGGGUGUUGACCCCUUCUGUGCCGUAGCUAACGCAUUAAGUUAUCCGCCUGGGGAGUACGGUCGCAAGAUUA
rnacentral:rRNA from 1 species